rnacentral:rRNA from 1 species
UACGAAGGGGGCUAGCGUUGCUCGGAAUUACUGGGCGUAAAGCGCACGUAGGCGGCUCUUUAAGUCGGGGGUGAAAUCCUGGAGCUCAACUCCAGAACUGCCUUCGAUACUGUAGAGCUUGAGUUCGGGAGAGGUGAGUGGAACUGCGAGUGUAGAGGUGAAAUUCGUAGAUAUUCGCAAGAACACCAGUGGCGAAGGCGGCUCACUGGCCCGAUACUGACGCUGAGGUGCGAAAGCGUGGGUAGCGAACGGG